CAAUAGCGUAUAUUAAAGUUGUUGCAGUUAAAAGCUCGUAGUUGAAUUUCUAGGCAGUAGCUACUCGGAUUUCAAUUCAGUAUCUGCUGUCUAUCCGACACUGAACUAUGACGGGUAUUAAGUUAUCCCCAUAGCGAAUUGUCAUUUUACUUUGAAAAAUUAGAGUGUUUCAGGCAGGCAAUUGCCCGGAUAUCUUAGCAUGGAAUAAUGGAAUAGGACUUUGGUUCAUUUGAUUGGUUAUUGAAUCAAAGUAAUGAUUAAUAGGGACAGUUGGGGGCAUUAGUAUUUAAUUGUCAGAGGUGAAAUUCUUGGAUUUAUUAAAGACUAACUUAUGCGAAAGCAUUUGCCACGGAUGUUUUCAUUAAUCAAGAACGAAAGUUAGGGGAUCAAAGACGAUCAGAUACCAU
rnacentral:rRNA from 1 species